rnacentral:rRNA from 1 species
AUUGAACGCUAGCGGGAUGCCUUACACAUGCAAGUCGAACGGCAGCAUAAGAGAGCUUGCUCUCUUGAUGGCGAGUGGCGAACGGGUGAGUAAUGUAUCGGAACGUGCCCAGUAGCGGGGGAUAACUACGCGAAAGCGUAGCUAAUACCGCAUACGCCCUACGGGGGAAAGGAGGGGAUCUGCAAGGACCUUUCACUAUUGGAGCGGCCGAUAUCGGAUUAGCUAGUUGGUGAGGUAACGGCUCACCAAGGCGACGAUGCAUAGCCGACCUGAGAGGGCGAACGGCCACAUUGGGACUGAGACACGGCCCAA